rnacentral:antisense_RNA from 1 species
AUAAAAAAAUCAAUAAAUUUAUUUUUUUAUUUUUUUUAAUGGCAUUUUUUUAUUGGCAU